rnacentral:rRNA from 1 species
UUCCCUUCGGGGAGCAAGUAGAGUGGCGCACGGGUGAGUAACACGUAGGUAAUCUACCUUCGGAUGGGGAAUAACAACCGGAAACGGUUGCUAAUACCGCAUAAUGCAGCGGCACCUAAUGGUGACAGUUGUUAAAGCGGGGGAUCGCAAGACCUCGCGUCUGGAGAGGAGCCUGCGGCGGAUUAGCUAGUUGGUAAGGUAACGGCUUACCAAGGCAACGAUCCGUAGCCGGCCUGAGAGGGCGGUCGGCCACACUGACACUGACAUACGGGUCAGACUCCUACGGGAGGCAGCAGUCGGGAAUUUUGGGCAAUGGGCGAAAGCCUGACCCAGCAACGCCGCGUGAAGGAUGAAAUCCCUCGGGAUGUAAACUUCGCAAGAACGGGAAGAAUAAGCGAGAGUUAAUAUCUUUCGUGAUGACGGUACCGUUUGUAAGCUCCGGCUAACUCCGUGCCAGCAGCCGCGGUAAUACGGGGGGAGCAAGCGUUGUUCGGAUUUACUGGGCGUAAAGGGCGCGUAGGCGGCCAGCGCAAGUCAGUUGUGAAAUCUCCGAGCUUAACUCGGAAAGGUCAACUGAUACUGCGCGGCUAGAGUGCAGAAGGGGCAACUGGAAUUCUCGGUGUAGCGGUGAAAUGCGUAGAUAUCGAGAGGAACACCUGCGGCGAAGGCGGGUUGCUGGGCUGACACUGACGCUGAGGCGCGAAAGCCAG